GAAAGGGUGCAGGGUUUGAAACAUGGCGGACGACGUAGACCAGCAACAAACUACCAACACUGUAGAGGAGCCCCUGGAUCUUAUCAGGCUCAGCCUAGAUGAGCGAAUUUAUGUGAAAAUGAGAAAUGACCGAGAGCUUCGAGGCAGAUUACAUGCUUAUGAUCAACAUUUAAAUAUGAUCUUGGGAGAUGUGGAAGAAACUGUGACUACUAUAGAAACUGAUGAAGAAACAUAUGAAGAGAUAUAUAAAUCAACAAAACGGAAUAUUCCAAUGCUCUUUGUCUGGGGAGAUGGCGUUGUCCUGGUUGCCCCUCCACUGAGAGUUGGCUGAAACAAAGAAUUUGUCCUGUAUGGAAAACAGGAGACUUUGUACAGUCGCCUCUCUAAAAGUACAAAACAUUCACAAGAGAAACCUGCAUACAUUUUGAUAUUAAGAAAAAAAAAAAAAAGAAUCAAAUGGAAAUCCUAGAAAUAAAAAAACAGACAAAUCAAUGAAACAGAUGAAGAAUACCUUCAACGGGCUCAUAAGCAGACUUGACAUAGCCAAGGAAAGAAUUAGUAAACCUGAGGGCAGGUCAACAGAAAUUACUCAAACUGAAGGACUAAAAGAAUCCAAGAGACAUGAUGACUAGAUGCAAUGCAUGAUUCUGGACAAGGAAAAUAAUAGCUAUAAAGGAUAUUAUUGGAACAACUGAUAAAACUGGAAUAAUGGAUUGUGGAUUACUGUAUGGUACUGUAUCCUGUUAAGUGCCCUGAUUUUGAUCCAUAUAGUGUGGGUACAUAAAAGAGAGUCCUUGUUCUUAGGAAAUACACACUGAAGUAUAAAAGGCUUAAUUAAGGUCCACAGUAUCUUCAGUUUACUCCCA